CCUGCCCUUCAGAGGGGGACAACAGUUGGAAACGACUGCUAAUACCGCAUACGAUCUGACCUCGGCAUCGAGGAUAGAUGAAAGGUGGCCUCUAUUUAUAAGCUAUCACUGAAGGAGGGGAUUGCGUCUGAUUAGCUAGUUGGAGGGGUAACGGCCCACCAAGGCGGUGAUCAGUAGCCGGUCUGAGAGGAUGAACGGCCACAUUGGGACUGAGACACGGCCCAG
rnacentral:rRNA from 1 species